AGCGGCGGACGGGUGAGUAACGCGUGGGCAACCUGCCUUAUAGACCGGGAUAACAGGUCGAAAGGCCUGCUAAUACCGGAUGAGCUCAUGGUUUUGCAUAGGGCCAUGAGGGAAGGGGAGACCCGCUAUAAGAUGGGCCCGCGUCCCAUUAGCUAGUUGGUGAGGUAACGGCUCACCAAGGCGACGAUGGGUAGCCGGCCUGAGAGGGCGACCGGCCACACUGGAACUGAGACACGGUCCAGACUCCUACGGGGGGCAGCAGUAGGGAAUCUUCGGCAAUGGGCGAAAGCCUGACCGAGCGACGCCGCGUGAGGGACGAAGGUCUUCGGAUUGUAAACCUCUGUCUAGGGGGACGAGGAAGGACGGUACCCCUGGAGGAAGCCCCGGCUAACUACGUGCCAGCAGCCGCGGUAAUAC
rnacentral:rRNA from 1 species